rnacentral:rRNA from 1 species
UACGAAGGGGGCUAGCGUUGCUCGGAAUCACUGGGCGUAAAGCGCACGUAGGCGGAUUGUUAAGUCAGGGGUGAAAUCCUGGAGCUCAACUCCAGAACUGCCUUUGAUACUGAGGAUCUUGAGUUCGGGGGAGGUGAGUGGAACUGCGAGUGUAGAGGUGAAAUUCGUAGAUAUUCGCAAGAACACCAGUGGCGAAGGCGGCUCACUGGCCCGAUACUGACGCUGAGGCACGAAAGCGUGGGGAGCAAACAGG